GUGUCAGUCGCCGCGGUAAGACGUAGGGCGCAAGCGUUGUCCGGAUUUAUUGGGCGUAAAGAGCUCGUAGGCGGCUUGUUGCGUCGACCGUGAAAACCCGCGGCUCAACUGCGGGCUUGCGGUCGAUACGGGCAGGCUGGAGUUCGGUAGGGGAGACUGGAAUUCCUGGUGUAGCGGUGAAAUGCGCAGAGAUCAGGAGGAACACCCGUAGCGAAGGCGGCACUCUGGGCCGAUACUGACGCUGAGGAGCGAAAGCGUGGGGAGCGAACAGGAUUAGAAACCCCUGUAGUCC
rnacentral:rRNA from 1 species